rnacentral:rRNA from 1 species
UUUAUUGGAGAGUUUGAUCCUGGCUCAGGAUGAACGCUGGCGGCGUGCCUAAUACAUGCAAGUCGAGCGAAUGGAUUGAGAGCUUGCUCUCAAGAAGUUAGCGGCGGACGGGUGAGUAACACGUGGGUAACCUGCCCAUAAGACUGGGAUAACUCCGGGAAACCGGGGCUAAUACCGGAUAACAUUUUGAACCGCAUGGUUCGAAAUUGAAAGGCGGCUUCGGCUGUCACUUAUGGAUGGACCCGCGUCGCAUUAGCUAGUUGGUGAGGUAACGGC